CUUAGAAGUUGUCUGAAAUACACAUUUGUCUGGAGAAAGAAAAUCUGGCUGAGAUGGAUGGAAGCUAAAAGAGAAUGGAAGGCCUCCAGCUGUUUGAGGCUCUGUCCUCAACGACAAUCAAAAUUCUCCAUCUUUUCUUGUUCUUGGCACUUUCUGAUUGAAAUAAGAUUCCAGCAUUUAUCUGCACCUGCAAUUUUGACAAGAAAGGAAAAUUUAAAAGACAAGUGAAAGAAUUCUCUGAGGGAAGUCAGUGAGUCGACAGUAGUCAGACGCCUCCAAAUCUCUUUUUGCAUUCCUCCGUCAAUUAAGCUACAGUCACAUAUUGGAGAGCAGAACUUAAGUCUGUGAGUAGAAAUGCAAAAAUGUGUGUCGAUCAGUAGCUGGAACCUUCCUCUGGAGCGAGUAUUACUUGGAGAGCAGCUGAUGAUCCAUUUGGCAUUGAAAUGGAGAGGAUUUUGAGUCAAAGAGGCCACUUUAAAUUAUAGAUUUGAGUUUAGUUG
rnacentral:lncRNA from 1 species